rnacentral:lncRNA from 1 species
AUCUCUGAUCCUCUCCCACACCCAAAGAAGUUGGGCAUCCUAUCUGGUGAUCUCGAUGCAUCGAGUUCCAAUCAAUCCAUGCGAUGGAACAAGAAGGUUGCGAUCAAGCAUUGGUCGAAACCCUACCAGAGAUCAGAUCCAAGGCUGAUCCAAGAGCUUGCAUAUUCAUCUAGGAGUAGAUGAAUUGAACACGGAGAGAGCAUCCUAGUCUGAGUCCGAGUGGAUAUC